rnacentral:rRNA from 1 species
GAGAGCGGCGGACGGGUGAGUAAUGCCUAGGAAUCUGCCUGGUAGUGGGGGAUAACGUCCGGAAACGGACGCUAAUACCGCAUACGUCCUACGGGAGAAAGCAGGGGACCUUCGGGCCUUGCGCUAUCAGAUGAGCCUAGGUCGGAUUAGCUAGUUGGUGGGGUAAUGGCUCACCAAGGCGACGAUCCGUAACUGGUCUGAGAGGAUGAUCAGUCACACUGGAACUGAGACACGGUCCAGACUCCUACGGGAGGCACCAGUGGGGAAUAUUGGACAAUGGGCGAAAGCCUGAUCCAGCCAUGCCGCGUGUGUGAAGAAGGUCUUCGGAUUGUAAAGCACUUUAAGUUGGGAGGAAGGGCAGUAAAUUAAUACUUUGCUGUUUUGACGUUAUCGACAGAAUAAGCCCGGGCUAACUCUGUGCCAGCAGCCGCGGUAAUACAGAGGGUGCAAGCGUUAAUCGGAAUUACUGGGCGUAAAAGCGCGCGUAGGUGGUUCGUUAAGUUGGAUGUGAAAUCCCCGGGCUCAACCUGGGAACUGCAUUCUAAACUGACGAGCUAGA